rnacentral:misc_RNA from 1 species
UGCCGGGCAAAACAUUUCCAGCACGCAUGGAAACAAGUUCAGAAUCACAUCACACCAGGAGACAGUCCGACAGUCAGAGAGUCAGAAGCGAAGAGAUACAGCACAUGGACGCACAGAUAUAGGAGUCGGGAUUGGACACAAUCAAACAUGGCCAGCGACCCUGCCAAUUCCAGAGACCAGAUCGACAUGGACGCGCACGUAUCGGAUAUUUCCACUAGCGAGAGUGAGCUAACCAGCGACGUCGAUACUGAUAGCGAAGGCGAGAGCUCCACAUUGGCCGCAUCCGACACCAGUCUGCAGGCGAGCAUGUACAGCCUGCUGUAUGGGGAAUCAGACAGUGAGUUGGAGAAGGAGCAGGAGAAUGUCUGCGAAGAGACCAUUUCGCUGCUUGCCCACGAGAUCCUCUGCUGUGAGGGCGACAGUGACUCAGAGGUGGAGACCGACGGCGAGGACAGCGACGAGGCCAGGGACUACGAUAUGCUUGGAGAAACCCAAGAGUUUGGGCUGCCCACAUACCGGCUCAUGCUGAGCGACGAGGACGAAGAUAAUCCCAAUGAGGUGGAAGUGGUAGGCAGUAAUGCGAUCAUCGGCGAGACAAUCUUCCUGCUGGAAAAGGAUAAGGAUCAACAGAGCGAGGAGAAGUCCGAAUCAAAGAAGGAAGAAGGAUUCUUUUAAACGGAGCUUUUUGAGUAGGGCUGGGGUGGGUUGAAUCGGCAUCUGCAGGAGGUUUUUUUGGUUUUUACAGAUACAUUCUAUGAACAUGUAUCUACUAUUUAUGGAGGGCAACAUAUGAGAUAAAUCCGUACCAGCAAACUUAAUUUUCAGGAUAAGGCCUAGGAGAAAUUAGAAAGGUGUGCAAAAGUCCCGAAGCGGCAAAAGUGUGACUCCCUCAGGGAACAGACAAUCCUGGCAUCCAUGGAUAGGAGUAUUCAGGACGCAAUUAGUCGCAACAGAAACUGAGUGGAACGCGCUGCUGAUCCCAAAACUACAAACUUUAUAAAUUUGUCAAAUUGUUUAAAAUACAGUAAAUUGAUCGAUACCACG